CCUCUAGUGGCUGCUGAGGAGUACUGCAGGUUUUAGUGGUUUAACAGGGAGUGAGGCCCUCUAGUGGCCGCUGUGCAGUACUGCAGGUUUUAGUGGUUUAACAGGGAGUGAGGCCCUCUAGUGGCUGCUGUGGAGUACUGCAGGUUUUAGUGGUUUAACAGGGAGUGAGGCCCUCUAGUGGCUGCUGUGGAGUACUGCAGGUUUUAGUGGUUUAACAGGGAGUGAGGCCCUCUAGUGGCUGCUGUGGAGAACUGCAGGUUUUAGUGGUUUAACAGGGAGUGAGGCCCUCUAGUGGCUGCUGUGGAGUACUGCAGGUUUUAGUGGUUUAACAGGGAGUGAGGCCCUCUAGUGGCUGCUGUGGAGUACUGCAGGUUUUAGUGGUUUAACAGGGAGUGAGGCCCUCUAGUGGCUGCUGUGGAGUACUGCAGGUUUUAGUGUUUUAACAGGGAGUGAGGCCCUCUAGUGGCUGC